AAUUAAUGAACUUGUCUAAAAAGUAUUUGUUUUGAAAACUUAUUAAAGAAUUUAAUUCUAUUAAUUU
rnacentral:tRNA from 1 species